AGAGUUUGAUCCUGGCUCAGGAUGAACGCUAGCUACAGGCUUAACACAUGCAAGUCGAGGGGCAGCAUUUUAGUUUGCUUGCAAACUAAAGAUGGCGACCGGCGCACGGGUGAGUAACACGUAUCCAACCUGCCGAUAACUCGGGGAUAGCCUUUCGAAAGAAAGAUUAAUAUCCGAUAGUAUAUUAAAACCGCAUGGUUUUACUAUUAAAGAAUUUCGGUUAUCGAUGGGGAUGCGUUCCAUUAGUUUGUUGGCGGGGUAACGGCCACCAAGACUACGAUGGAUAGGGGUUCUGAGAGGAAGGUCCCCCACAUUGGAACUGAGACACGGUCCAAAACUCCUACGGGGGCAG
rnacentral:rRNA from 1 species